rnacentral:rRNA from 1 species
UACGUAGGGGGCAAGCGUUGUCCGGAAUCAUUGGGCGUAAAGAGCGUGUAGGCGGCCAGAUAAGUCCGCUGUGAAAUCUCGAGGCUCAACUUCGAGCUGUCGGUGGAAACUGUCUGGCUAGAGUCCGGAAGAGGAGAAUGGAAUUCCUGGUGUAGCGGUGAAAUGCGCAGAUAUCAGGAAGAACACCCGUGGCGAAGGCGGUUCUCUGGGACGGUACUGACGCUGAGACACGAAGGUCAGGGGAGCAAACGGG